rnacentral:rRNA from 1 species
GAUGAACGCUGGCGGCGUGCUUAACACAUGCAAGUCGAACGGCAAGGCCUCUGCUUGCCGGGGUACUCGAGUGGCGAACGGGUGUGUAACACGUGGGUGAUCUGCCCUGUACUUCGGGAUAAGCCUGGGAAACUGGGUCUAAUACCGGCUAGGACAAUGGUUUGGCUGCUGUCGUGGAAAGCUUUACGUGGUGGGAUGAGCUCGCGGCCUAUCAGCUUGUUGGUGGGGUAAUGGCGUACCAAGGCGGCGACGGGGAGCCGGCAUGAGGGGGUGGACGGCCGGAUUAGGACCGUGAGACAGGCCAGAGUGCGGCAGGAGGCAGCAGGGGGGAAUAUUGGACAAAGGGCUGAAGCCUGAGGGAGCGAGGCCGCGUGGGGGUAAACGGCCUUUGGGUGGUAAGCACCUUUCUCGGGGGACGAAGCGGGUUUGUGACGGUACCGGAAGAAGAAGCACCGGCUAACUACGUG